UGUGUGGGAAUUUAUACAGAUCAGGAACGCUGGCUGGCUCUUGUUGAAUCCAAUUUUCUCUUCUUCAUGAUCAGCUUAGAACCAGAAUAUUAUUGCUGAAAUGGGCUAUUAUUGCUGAAAUUAGACUGUUAGUCUAACUUAAGAAAGAAAAAAACAAACAAAACUCAAUGACUUGCUCGGGUCUCACAGCCGGUGGAUGCCCAGAGCAGGUGCAGGCUACAGGUCUUCUGACUUGCCGCCCGUUGUACUAUUUGUGAAGCGAUUCUAAAGAAUUCACCAGCAGUGGGAAUGGUGUUCAGGGUGCCGGUGGUCCCCGGUUGUAACAGGCACGUGGGGCAUUUGCCUCCUUUGAAGCCUAUAUCCUGGCUUCCCUUCUCCCUUGGGGUGGUUAUGUUCUUCUGUGUGUUCGUAUAGAAAUCAGCUCCAAGAACAGGAGAGGGCUAAAGGUCAGGGGGUUUAUGACUCUGUCCUUUGGUCACUCAGCAGGACACGAUCACAGACUUUUGCAGUUCGUGUAUACUCAGUUAUCAUCCGCAACCACAGUAAGGAAGGCAAACCUUCACGAGGAGCGUGCGAGUGCCAGGCACCGGAUGGGUCACUGAUGAGGCAACAAAAAUAUUGUUAAUUGUCCAAGGUCUUACAGAGAGAGAAUGGAAGUUUUCUUAGUGCCAAAUGCAGACGGUUUGAAUGGCUUAAGGUACAAAAAGAGACAUUCCUGUUUGAACACAUCAUGUUCUUGCUAUGACAACAAUAUUCAAUCGUAGCGUUAGAUCUGGAAGAUGUCCUUUAAUGUGGUGCCUUUGGAGCGCGUUGUCGGGUUCUGCCUUACCACUGCGGAUGACAAAUGUGUUGAUCUAAACAUUUUGUACUGAUGGUGGAAACUCCAUCGAUCAAGCACCGCAGUCUAUCUCGUCUCCUCUCCGAGCUGCGGGGGCGUUUGCAGGGCCUGCUGGCCAGAGCGCAGUGGGAGGGACGCUGCCUGCCUUCCGAGGGCUGAUGCGAAAGGACAGCUUCCGCCGGUCUAUCUUGGGAACCUCGGGCAUCUGCAGCCGCCGCGGGAACGGGCUGGCUGCCCUGAGGCUGCCCGCGGCGACCCUGAGCACAGAGCGCCAGGAGGGAGAUGCUCAAGGGGCCCCGCGGUUGGCUGCUUCCCUGCCGGUCCAGCUUCUGCGAAGGAAACGCUUUCGGGACGGACGCGCCACGGCCUGAGCGCAACUAACUGCGCAGGAAACCCCGAGCUCAGUGCGCACGGACAGGCGCGAGCCGGGUUUUGGCGGUUGCUACUGCUCUCCGCUGCUCCGGCAGGGCGACGGCCUCCCUCCCGAGCAGUCAGCGGCUGGGGCGCGAGUGGUACCCGCCGCGCCUGGCGUUCGGGGGCACUUAGCGCUGCGCUCUGUUCCGUGCGUCUCUGCUGUGGGCAUGAGCGCCUCCCGCGGGGCCCGUCUCACCUGUAAGUUAGUCGUAUCAGGACCCAGAUUCUCUGCCUCAUGUAAAUCUGAGGAAGACGGAACGAGAUAAGAUGGGAAAGUUUCUGAAAAAGUAACACUGAAACCGCUCAAGCGUAAAGUUGGACAAAAAUCAAAACGGCUGCACCAGUGCUCCAGCGAAGCUCGAUAUUAAAAAAAAAUGAUCGCGGCGGCUGGGUGAUCAGUCAGCAAAGCAUCUGCCUUCCGCUCAGGUCAUGAUCCAGGGUCCUGGGGUCAAGUCCCGCAUGAGGCCCGCUGCUCUGCGGGGAGCCUG